rnacentral:rRNA from 1 species
GAGUCGAAUGUAGCAAUACAUGGCGUACUGCUCAGUAACACGUGGACAACCUACCCUCCGGACGGGUAUAAACCCGGGAAACUGGGUAUAAUCCCCGAUAGAUCUCGGUCGCUGGAAUGCCCCGAGAUCGAAAGCUCCGGCGCCAGAGGAUGGGUCUGCGGCCUAUCAGGUAGUAGUGGGUGUAGCGUACCUACUAGCCUACGACGGGUACGGGUUGUGAGAGCAAGAGCCCGGAGAUGGAUUCUGAGACACGAAUCCAGGCCCUACGGGGUGCAGCAGGCGCGAAAACUUUACAAUGCCGGCAACGGCGAUAAGGGGACCUCGAGUGCCAGGUUACAAAUCUGGCUGUCGUGAUGCCUAAAAAGCAUUGCAUAGCAAGGGCCGGGCAAGACCGGUGCCAGCCGCCGCGGUAACACCGGCGGCUCGAGUGGUAACCGUUAUUAUUGGGUCUAAAGGGUCUGUAGCCGGCCGGAUAAGUCUCUUGAGAAAUCCAGCAGCUC